UAGGGAAUCUUUCACAAUGGACGCAAGUCUGAUGGAGCAACGCCGCGUGAGUGAAGAAGGUCUUCGGAUCGUAAAACUCUGUUGUUAGAGAAGAACACGAGUGAGAGUAACUGUUCAUUCGAUGACGGUAUCUAACCAGCAAGUCACGGCUAACUACGUGCCAG
rnacentral:rRNA from 1 species